UGGGGAAUAUUGGACAAUGGGGGCAACCCUGAUCCAGCCAUGCCGCGUGAGUGAUGAAGGCCUUCGGGUUGUAAAGCUCUUUUGGCGGGGACGAUGAUGACGGUACCCGCAGAAUAAGCCCCGGCUAACUUCGUGCCAGCAGCCGCGGUAAGACGAAGGGGGCAAGCGUUGUUCGGAAUUACUGGGCGUAAAGGGCGCGUAGGCGGUUUGCUUAGUCAGGCGUGAAAGCCCUGGGCUUAACCUGGGAUGUGCGCUUGAUACUGGCAGGCUUGAGGGUGGGAGAGGUCGGUGCAAUUCCCAGUGUAGAGGUGAAAUUCGUAGAUAUUGGGAAGAACACCGGUGGCGAAGGCGGCCAACUGGACCACAACUGACGCUGAGGCGCGAAAGCGUGGGGAGCAAACA
rnacentral:rRNA from 1 species